ACGGCGAGGCGGUGGCGCAAGGAAGUGACGGCGAGGCGGCGGCGCAAGGAGGGCGUGGUGCCCGAGGGUAACGGCGAGGCGGCAGCGCAAGGAGGGGGCGGCGCCGGAGGGUGACGGUGAGGCGGCGGCGCAAGGAAGAGGCAGGGGAGCAGGGGCGGCGUGGGGGAAGACCGGAAGAGGCAGGGCAGCACCGCGGGCAGCGUGUGGGUAACUGGACGCAGCGAACCGGGUUGUACCCAUGGUUUGUAGCCCAUAAUGCAUCAAAUGGUUUCAGCCCAUAACCAACUAUACCCAAACUGGUUCCUCUCAAAACUGAAACCAAACCAAACUUAAGAAAGGCUCAGCCCAAUAAGACCUAAACCAAUCAAGCCCAUAAUAAAAACCAACCCAUUUAAACCAGUUUUUCUAAAACCACUCCCAGAUUUAGUCUCUAGCUUCCACCACCAUUUGGUGAGCAAGCUAACGUUCUGUUUAUGAAGAUCUUUAACCCCCAGGCACCCUUUUUCUUUCGAGCGACAUAUUCUAGGCCAUUUCACCAGAUGGUAUCGUUUACGCCCCUCAUGUUCUUGCCAGAAAAACCGCUUACGGUGUUUAUCCAGCUUGCCAAGCACCCCUUUAGGAAUCAGAAACAUAGACAUGUAAUAGUAGACAAUACUGGUCAGGGAUGAAUUAAGAAGAAUAAGACGCCCCCCGAGGAUGCAGCAUUGCCAAUCCAUGACUCGCAGCAUUUAAGGAAUCUUUCAUCCAUAAAAUCCCAGUCUAGAGCACGAAGGUUCGAAAAGCUAACCGGCACCCCAAGGUACUUCAUUGGGAAGUGGCCGAUACUGCAAUUGAACAGAUCCGCAUAAAAUGAUAUAAUCUCGUCACCUCCCCCCACACACAGGAUCUCACUUUUCAUGAAAUUAAUCUUGAGGCCUGACAUAAGCUCAAAUAAGUAGAGCAGUAGUUUCAGGUUAAUGGCUGCCUCCUUAUCAUGUUCAAAGCAAAUUACCGUAUCGUCUGCAUAUUGCAGAAUUGCUACACCUCCCUCGAUUAGAUCCGGCGCCAGGCCAGUUAACAACUUCUCUCUGCGCAUUGGUAACCAUCUUAGAGAGGGUUUCCACCGCGAGAUUGAAUAGAAAGGGGGAAAAUGGGUCGCCUUGACGAACCCCUUUGUAGCUCUGGAAGUAGGGUCCCGUUUCAUUAUUCCACUUAGUAUUCAGAGUGCCAUUGUGAAGGAUUUUUUCCACCCAACCGCACCAGGUUGGGCCAAAUCCCCGGUUUUUGUGGCAUUCAAGGAGGAAUUCCCAGUUUAUCUUAUCGUAGGCUUUUUCGAAGUCCAGCUUAAGUACAAUCCCCACUUUUUUCUUAAGAUGAGUAUGGUGCAAAACUUCAUGGAGAGUCAGUAUUCCAUCCAUAAUAUUUCUGCGUUUUAUGAAGGCGUUUUGGUGCUUGCUAAUCAACUUGUCAGCAAACACUGCCACUCUGUUGUCCAACACCUUUGUGAUAAGCUUGUAUGGGCAUCUAAGUAAACAAAUGGGACGAUACUGCUGAAUUUUCCUCGCCCCACUCAUUUUAGGUAUUAGGGUGAUAAUACCCAGUGUUCAAGAAAGCGUUUUUAAGCGAUGCUUAAGCGCGAUUAAGCGCUGAGCGAUGGCAAAGCGCUUCGCUUUUGCCCUAAGCGGUAGAUUAAGCGUUUUUUAUUUAAAUUUGACCAAAAUUUGGCAAUUUUUGUACUACUUCUGCUGGUCUGCUUGUGCAAUAAUGGCAAUAUGCUAUUUAUCUUAUUACUAGGCUAUGUUCAAGAACUAUUUCCUUCAUAUUUUGGCAAAAUUCUGUCCACAUGAUAUCUGUUAGGUUACGUCUAUUUGAACUGAACUGCAUUUUAGUUGUUAUUUUGCUUGCUAUGCGAACCUGAUAUGUAUUUGCUAUUGUGUGAACUGUAUUUCAGAUGCUACUUCAAUUACCCAUGUGCCAAGCUUCCUAUUUUCAUGUGUAUAUCAUUCAAAAUCUGUCAAAUUCUAGCCAAUUUCAAAAAACGCUUAAGUGCGAUUAAGCUGCGCUUAAGCGCUCAUUGCUCUAAGCUGUGGCCUUCCGCUUCGCUUACGCUUUCCGCUUUCUUGAACAUUGAUAAUACCAUAAUUAAGUCGUGCCACAUCUAGCCUGUUUUCAUAGAAUGCCUCAAAGAGCUGCAUAAUAUCCUUCCUAACAAAGUCCCAGCAGUGUUUAUAGAAUUCAGCUGGGAUAUUGUCUGGACCUGGGGCCCUAUUACUCUCCAUACUAAACAAGGCUGCCUUCACUUCUUCCUCAGUAAACUUUUCGGUUAGGAUAUUAUUGUCCUCUUCUGUGAGUUUCUCACUGUUGGACCAUGUAUCAGGCAAUAAAUGGAACAAGUUCCCCCUCGCUGGGCCAAAGAGGGAUUUGUAAAAAGUUGUUGCGUGAUCAAGCAGGAGCCACCUCUCAUUUGAGUGUUGUAACCAAUACAACUCCUCAUCGGCAAGAAUCUCAUACAGCUCAGCAUAAAGGAUACUACGCUUCUCGUGUGGAUUUCAUGGAGCGUUUCAUGAAGGACCACAACCCCCUCAAGGAUGUUCCUGUCCGGCAUGAAAGCAGUUUGGGUAGGCUGCACAACAACAUGCGCGAUCUGUGUGAGCCUAUUGGUCCCGACCUUGGUGAAAAUUUUGAAACUAACAUUAAGAAGACAGAUUGGCCUGAA